rnacentral:rRNA from 1 species
CGUGAGUGAUGAAGGCCUUCGGGUUGUAAAGCUCUUUUGUGCGGGAAGAUAAUGACGGUACCGCAAGAAUAAGCCCCGGCUAACUUCGUGCCAGCAGCCGCGGUAAUACGAAGGGGGCUAGCGUUGCUCGGAAUCACUGGGCGUAAAGGGUGCGUAAGCGGGUCUUUAAGUCAGGGGUGAAAUCCUGGAGCUCAACUCCAGAACUGCCUUUGAUACUGAAGAUCUUGAGUUCGGGAGAGGUGAGUGGAACUGCGAGUGUAGAGGUGAAAUUCGUAGAUAUUCGCAAGAACACCAGUGGCGAAGGCGGCUCACUGGCCCGAUACUGACGCUGAGGCACGAAAGCGUGGGGAGCAAACAGGAUUAGAUACCCUGGUAGUCCACGCCAUAAACGAUGAAUGCCAGCCGUUAGUGGGUUUACUCACUAGUGGCGCAGCUAACGCUUUAAGCAUUCCGCCUGGGGAGUACGGUCGCAAGAUUAAAACUCAAAUG